rnacentral:rRNA from 1 species
AGUGAACGCUGGCGGUAGGCCUAACACCUGCAACUCGAACGGCAGCUCAGUAACACUUUGCUCUUCCGGGUGGCGGCCCGCGGCCGGGUGCGGAAUACCUCGGACUCUACUUCUUCUUGGGCUAUUACGUCGGGCAACCUAAGCUAAUACAGCAUACGUCCUUCGGGUGAAACCUGGGGACAUACGCCCCUUCCGCGAUUCAAUGCCCCGCUCCCGGAUUAGCCAGUUGGCGGAGUAAAUGCCCACCAAGGCGACGAUCCGUAGCUGGUCUGAGAGGAUGACCAGCCACACGGGAACUAAGACACGCUCCAGACUCCUACGGGAGGCAGCGGUGGGGAAUAUUGGACAAUGGUCUCAAGCCUGAUCCAGCCAUACCGCGUGGUUGAAGAAGGCCUCCGGGUUGUAAAGCCCAUUUGUUGGGAAAGAAAAGCAGCAGGUUAAUACCCCGCUGUUCUGACGGUACCCAAAGAAUAAGCACCGGCUAACUUCGUG